AGAGUUUGAUCAUGGCUCAGAGCGAACGCUGGCGGCGUGCUUAACACAUGCAAGUCGAACGAGUGUAGCAAUACAUUCGUGGCGAACGGGUGCGUAACACGUGGAUAACCUUCCUUGAGGUGGGGAAUAACCCCGCGAAAGCGGGGCUAAUACCGCAUAACAAAGCGAUGGCACAUGCUGUUGCUUUCAAAGGAGCAAUUCGCCACAAGAGGGAUCCGCGGCCGAUUAGCUAGUUGGUGAGGUAACGGCUCACCAAGGCUAUGAUCGGUAGCCGGACUGAGAGGUUGGCCGGCCACACUGGAACUGAGACACGGUCCAGACUCCUACGGGAGGCAGCAGUGGGGAAUCUUGCGCAAUGGGCGAAAGCCUGACGCAGCGACGCCGCGUGGGGGAUGAAGCUUUUCGGAGCGUAAACCCCUUUCGACCGGGACGAAUGCCCGCAAGGGCUUGACGGUACCGGUAGAAGAAGCCCCGGCUAACUACGUGCCAGCCGCCGCGGUAAUAC
rnacentral:rRNA from 1 species